UGGGGUGUAGCCAAGCGGUAAGGCAGCGGCCUUUGGAGCCGCCAUUCGGAGGUUCGAAUCCUCCCGCCCCAGCCA
rnacentral:tRNA from 1 species